AUUACUGUUACAUUUAUUUAUAUUUACUAAAAGUAAAUAUAUGCUCACAUAUCAGUAAGUAUUGUACAGCCCUAAAUUAUAUUUAAUACACCCAUCUAGGCAGUUAAUUCAUAUAUGUGCUGGCUUUAAUUUACAUUCAUGUUAUUAUCACCCUGCAAUAGGCGGAGGGAUAUUGUUUUGGCCUUGUCCGCCCGUCUUUCCGUCCAUCCGGCACUUUUGUGUUGGGAGCCAUAUCUUGGAAGUGCUUUGGUGGAUUUCAUUGAAACUUGGUAUGAGUAUAUGUAUAGAUAAGAGAAUGAUGCAUGCCAAAUGGCAUUGUACACUAUCUGUUAAUAACGGAGUUAUGGCCCUUCGAACCUAAAAAAAUGCUUUUUUACCUGAGUGUCAAAUAUAACACUUUUGUGUCCAGAAGCUAAUUAGCGGGGGAUAUCAAUUCAAUGAAUUUGUUUGUUAUUAAUUGAAGAGAAAUAAACCUGUUAUUUUGUCUGUCAUUAUGGUGUUUAAAGUCACAUUUAAUGGCAUCCAACCUACUUUAUUUCAAAUACAGUAACACCUGGCGCCGUGACCUGGAUGCAGAUUCUAAGCAGAUGGGCCAAAAUGGGGGCAGCUAGAGAGACUCGCCUGGAACUGACAAGCCUGGAGGGAGCUGGUUGACUGUUGGCGAGAUGGGACAACAGACGAAGAAUAAACGAACCUACUUGAUUUGAUAAACAUUUUUAUGUUUUUCAGUUUCGUCGGAAGACAUUUCCCACCAACCAUCCUGUCUUGAAAGAAAUAACUUUUGAACCCGAUUAUCUGAUAUUUUCCAGUUUCCCCUCACAACAAUUUGCAACAAACCUCUUGUCUGCUCCUCAGCUGAAAUCAUCAUCUAGCAGUCACAAUAGUUGAGCGGUUGGAGAGGCAUGCAUUGCGUCCUACUACUGCUCAGACUAUAUCAUGUUUGGCAGACAAAACAUGCUGAUCAAAAAGAAUGUGUACCACAGGGGCCAGUGUUUCCAUUUGAGUGAUUGACAAGAAGAAGAAGAGAUGAGAAAUGUUAUCAUCAUAUUUUAGUCCCUACAUUUAUAGUGUACAGCUCAAUGUAUUGAACCGGUGUUGUAGAAUAUAAUUGGAGAUACAUGCGAACAUUAUAACAUUAUAUAUAAGAUGAUAUUUCAAAAGCAAUAAGAAAUAAAAAGUAUAAAAAGGUCAAAACAGUAAACCUUGUGUUUACAGUGGACAGGUUUAAAGUGGAAGUGACUAGUUAACUGUUGAUCAUAAGCUGCACUGAUGGAAAAAAUAGUGGGAAAUUACUAUCUAGAAAACUUUUUAACCUACGACAAACAGUUGUGGAACUUCAUAAAUGACCGUAUGUAACAGGGCUGUGCAGUUUUCCUUAUAUAGCUAUAGUGAAACCUUUUAAACACUAGUGAAGUCACUGUUUUUUUUCCAAUCUUCAUGCAUUUUGGUCGAAUAUUUGUUCAAAUGAUGGCUCAGUCAAGUUUCGAAAUUUUUAUGUCUAUUCAAAAAACAUAUCCA